rnacentral:rRNA from 1 species
CGGCAGCGACACUGUGUGUUGUUGGGUAGGGGAGCGUUCUGUAAGCCUGUGAAGGUGUGUCGUGAGGCAUGCUGGAGGUAUCAGAAGUGCGAAUGCUGACAUAAGUAACGAUAAAGCGGGUGAAAAGCCCGCUCGCCGGAAGACCAAGGGUUCCUGUCCAACGUUAAUCGGGGCAGGGUGAGUCGACCCCUAAGGCGAGGCCGAAAGGCGUAGUCGAUGGGAAACGGGUUAAUAUUCCCGUACUUGGUGUUACUGCGAAGGGGGGACGGAGAAGGCUAUGUUGGCCGGGCGACGGUUGUCCCGGUUUAAGCGUGUAGGUGUGUGUUCCAGGUAAAUCCGGUUCACUUUAACACUGAGGCGUGACGACGAGGCACUACGGUGCUGAAGCAACAAAUGCCCUGCUUCCAGGAAAAGCCUCUAAGCAUCAGGUAACAUCAAAUCGUACCCCAAACCGACACAGGUGGUCAGGUAGAGAAUACCAAGGCGCUUGAGAGAACUCGGGUGAAGGAACUAGGCAAAAUGGUGCCGUAACUUCGGGAGAAGGCACGCUGACACGUAGGUGAAGUGAUUUACUCAUGGAGCUGAAGUCAGUCGAAGAUACCAGCUGGCUGCAACUGUUUAUUAAAAACACAGCACUGUGCAAACACGAAAGUGGACGUAUACGGUGUGACGCCUGCCCGGUGCCGGAAGGUUAAUUGAUGGGGUCAGCGCAAGCGAAGCUCCUGAUCGAAGCCCCGGUAAACGGCGGCCGUAACUAUAACGGUCCUAAGGUAGCGAAAUUCCUUGUCGGGUAAGUUCCGACCUGCACGAAUGGCGUAAUGAUGGCCAGGCUGUCUCCACCCGAGACUCAGUGAAAUUGAACUCGCUGUGAAGAUGCAGUGUACCCGCGGCAAGACGGAAAGACCCCGUGAACCUUUACUAUAGCUUGACACUGAACAUUGAGCCUUGAUGUGUAGGAUAGGUGGGAGGCUUUGAAGCGUGGACGCCAGUCUGCAUGGAGCCGACCUUGAAAUACCACCCUUUAAUGUUUGAUGUUCUAACGUGGACCCGUGAUCCGGGUUGCGGACAGUGUCUGGUGGGUAGUUUGACUGGGGCGGUCUCCUCCUAAAGAGUAACGGAGGAGCACGAAGGUUGGCUAAUCCUGGUCGGACAUCAGGAGGUUAGUGCAAUGGCAUAAGCCAGCUUGACUGCGAGCGUGACGGCGCGAGCAGGUGCGAAAGCAGGUCAUAGUGAUCCGGUGGUUCUGAAUGGAAGGGCCAUCGCUCAACGGAUAAAAGGUACUCCGGGGAUAACAGGCUGAUACCGCCCAAGAGUUCAUAUCGACGGCGGUGUUUGGCACCUCGAUGUCGGCUCAUCACAUCCUGGGGCUGAAGUAGGUCCCAAGGGUAUGGCUGUUCGCCAUUUAAAGUGGUACGCGAGCUGGGUUUAGAACGUCGUGAGACAGUUCGGUCCCUAUCUGCCGUGGGCGCUGGAGAACUGAGGGGGGCUGCUCCUAGUACGAGAGGACCGGAGUGGACGCAUCACUGGUGUUCGGGUUGUCAUGCCAAUGGCACUGCCCGGUAGCUAAAUGCGGAAGAGAUAAGUGCUGAAAGCAUCUAAGCACGAAACUUGCCCCGAGAUGAGUUCUCCCUGAGACUUAGAGUCUCCUGAAGGAACGUUGAAGACGACGACGUUGAUAGGCCGGGUGUGUAAGCGCAGCGAUGCGUUGAGCUAACCGGUACUAAUGAACCGUGAGGCUUAACCUUACAACGCCGAAG